AUUGAACGCUGGCGGCAUGCUUUACACAUGCAAGUCGAACGGUAACUGGCCUUCGGGUGCUGACGAGUGGCGAACGGGUGAGUAAUGCAUCGGAACGUACCCAGAGGUGGGGGAUAACGCAGCGAAAGCUGUGCUAAUACCGCAUGUGAUCUGAGGAUGAAAGCGGGGGACCGAGCAGCAAUGUUUGGCCUCGCGCCUUUGGAGCGGCCGAUGUCGGAUUAGCUAGUUGGUGGGGUAAAGGCCUACCAAGGCGACGAUCCGUAGCUGGUCUGAGAGGACGACCAGCCACACUGGGACUGAGACACGGCCCAGACUCCUACGGGAGGCAGCAGUGGGGAAUUUUGGACAAUGGGCGCAAGCCUGAUCCAGCAAUGCCGCGUGCGGGAAGAAGGCCUUCGGGUUGUAAACCGCUUUUGGCAGGAACGAAACGGUGUCCGCUAAUACCGGGCGCUAAUGACGGUACCUGCAGAAUAAGCACCGGCUAACUACGUG
rnacentral:rRNA from 1 species